UUACAGAAGAAUUUAAUUUUGGUUCCGAUUGAACGUUAUUCAGUAGUCUAAGGCAUGCAAAUCAUUUUAAUAAACUAUGCUAUGGAAACCUCAUCUUAAUUCUAUUGGCACUAGAAUAAGGUGAAUUCUAAAUUUACAGGUCAAAUAGAAUAUUUAAGUUAAAAGGUGUAGAGGUGAGUAAUAUUAAAUUAGAUACCCUUUAGUAUCCGUAAAUAGAAUAUAACCAAAGAGAUAAUUCUCGCUAUGGGAUUUUAAUUUAACUUGACUAGGUAGUUGGUGGGGUUAAAGGCCUACCAAGCCGACGAUCAAUAGCCAUUCUUGUAAGAGACAAUGGCCACAUUGGGUUUGAAAUCGACCCUAGUAGUUUUAAACUACCAGCAGCCGAGAAUAUUUGUCAAUGCUCGCAAGAGUGAACGAGCUAACUGAAAGAUUACACAAUCUAAGGAUAGAAAACUUACAAAUACAUUAUUUAUAAGUUUAAAUACGAAUCUGACUAAUAGUGUCGUCUAAAUUCUGGUGCCAGAAGACUCGGUAAUACCAGAGACGCGAACGUUAAUCAUCAUGAAUGGGCAUAAAGGGUUUGUAGGUGGCUUAUUUAUUAAUAGGCUAGAAUCUUAUAGAGGUUAAUAAAAUACUUAGAGGAGGGCUGAUAUCCUUAGAUCCUGAGUGGAAUCCUAAUUGCGAAGGCCAUUAACCAAUAAAGAUUGACGCUGAGACACGAAAGUUAGGACAGGAACUAGGAUUAGAGACCCUAUUACCCCUAACUGUAAACGAUGAAUGGAAGAUAUUUACUAUAACAGUAAGUGUCGAAGUGAAUACGAUAACCAUUCCGCCUUGCCAGUAUACUUGCAAAAGUGAAAACAAAAAAAUUAGUCGGUCCUAAAGCAAACGAAGUGAAGCAUGUUAUUUAAUUCGAUAACCCGCGUAUAAUCUUACCACUUCUUGAAUAUUAACCUUAAUACUAAGGUCCGAAUCCUCGGGUUUGGAAUAAAUAACUUAUAUUAUAAGUUUUUAUUAUAAUACAGGUGUUGCAUGGCUGUCGUCAGUUCGUGUCAUGAGAUGUGAGGUUAAUUCCACUAACGAACGCAAUCCCUACUAUUAAUUUAUGUUUAAUAGUGAUUUUUUAAUAUAAAGAAUCUUUUUGGGGCUAAGACAAGUCCUUAUGACCCGAAUGAAGUGGGCUAUAGACGUGCUGCAAAAGCUCAGAACAAAGUGAUGCAAUACUAACCCUUUCCUUUAUUUUUAAGGUAUUUUAUAUAUCUUAAAUAUCUUAAGGUUAGGGAUACAGAGGAGCUAAUCACAAAAAACUGACUAUUUUAAUUUUGACCGAUUGUUGCCUGGAACUCGGCAGCAUGAAGCAGGAAUUUCGAGUAAUCGUUGAUCACUAACGCAACGGUGAAGUUUUAAUUUAGGAUGAACUAACUGUCUGUCAAUCGGGAGAAGCUUUACAAUAAGGAAGAAAUGGUAGUCCGGUCAUUAUUCUUAAUUAAUUAGUGAUAUGCCUAUAAUCUAAAUAAAUAUUUAUAUUUUUGGAAAUUAUUGGGAUGCCAAAGUCAAUAUAAUAAUUAAGAAAGAUGCUGGUAACUGGGUCCAGUUAUUGUGAGUGACAUUCGAUAAGUCAUAGCAAGGUAGCCUUACUGGAAGGUGAGGCUGUAUUAUAUUUUUU
rnacentral:rRNA from 1 species